rnacentral:rRNA from 1 species
AACGAACGCUGGCGGCGUGCCUAACACAUGCAAGUCGUGCGAGAAAGUUCCUUCGGGAGCGAGUAAAGCGGCGCACGGGUGAGUAACACGUAGGUAACCUGCCCCCCAGUCUGGAACAACUAGAGGAAACUCUAGCUAAUGCCGGAUGAGACCACGAUCCCUUCGGGGGUUGCGGCCAAAGAUGGCCUCUACUUGUAAGCUAUCGCUGAGGGAUGGGCCUGCGGCCAUUAGCUUGUUGGUGAGGUAACGGCUCACCAAGGCUGUGAUGGCUAGCUGGUCUGAGAGGAUGACCAGCCACACUGGGACUGAGACACGGCCCAGACUCCACGGGAGGCAGCAGUGGGGAAUAUUGCGCAAUGGGCGAAAGCCUGACGCAGCGACGCCGCGUGGGUGAU